ACGACCUUACUUGAACAGGAUCUGUUCUAUAGGGAAGUACCUCUAUAUCCAUGAGUACAAAGGAGACAUCAACCAAAACCUGGUCGAUGAAUCAGGACCGUGCAAUCAGAGCAUAAUUAAUGGCUGGUGACUCUUGUGAUGGGUUUCUCUGGCUGUAGAGGAUCGUUCUAAUCUUUUUUUUUUUUUCGAAACCAGACCAUACCUGCUUUUGCGCUAUGUCAAUCUCACUUGAAUGACAGUAG